rnacentral:rRNA from 1 species
UACGGGGGGGGCAAGCGUUGUUCGGAAUUACUGGGCGUAAAGGGCUCGUAGGCGGCCAACUAAGUCGGACGUGAAAUCCCUCGGCUUAACCGGGGAACUGCGUCCGAUACUGGAUGGCUGGAGGUUGGGAGAGGGAUGCGGAAUUCCAGGUGUAGCGGUGAAAUGCGUAGAUAUCUGGAGGAACACCGGUGGCGAAGGCGGCAUCCUGGACCAUUACUGACACUGAAAAGCGAAAGCCAGGGGAGCAAACGGG